UGUCAGGUCCUUUUAAGGACCACUCUCUUUUUUUUUAACUUACACU
rfam:Sarcophilus harrisii ctg7180001438757, whole genome shotgun sequence.